ACCUCCCGGGCUAAUGGCGCUUGCUGCCUGGCACACAGCAGGUGACUACACUGCAUGGCUUAUAAAUGUGGCCUCUGCCAGGAAAUCCUGGGAAAGAGCCAGGGAGGUGACGUUUUAUCCACGAGCCUGCUAUGGCUUAGCCUAGCCCUCCCCUAACUGUGACCAAGCUCUGGAUGAGACACAGACAACUACUGAGGACCUGCAAAGUAAGGAGACUGCAGGGCGGAGGCGGAACUUGGAGGAGUGACCUGCCGUGGAGUUUCUGGUUUCCUCCUUGUGGCUUUGUCUGGAGGGCAAGCCCCACUCUCAGAUCCACAUGGCAACACAAGCAGCUAAAACGCAGAUAGAAACCCCAACCUGGGAAAAGGAGUCCUACAGCAGAAUGGAGACAAAGGAAAGCCAGCGAACGUGAAGACAGAUAAAUAGAAAAUAUCCACUCCGAAGAACGAAGAUAAAGAGGAAAAACAAGAACAAGCAUCACGGGCCAGCUGGGGUCGUAUCGAAAGGCCCAGCACAUACCUGGUUCCAGAAAGCAAGGAGGAGGUUGGGGCAGAAAGUUAUUUGAAGGAAUAUUGGCUGAAACAUCCCAAGUCUGGUGAAAUACAUAAAUGUAAGCAUUCAAGAAGCUCAGUGAACCCCAAAGAAGAUAAACAGAAAGGAAAAUAGACCCAGACAUAGCAUCAUCAAAUUGCUGAAAACUGAAGAAAACAUCUGGAAAGCAGCUAGAGAAAAACAACACAUUUCGUACACAAAAGCAGUGACUCCAGUGACUACAGAAUUCUUGCCAGAAACCACGGCAGCCAGGAGACAGCAGAACGAUGUCUUUAAUGCAUGAAAGGAAAGGUUUCUCCUUGCAAGGUGUUUGUUCAUUUCUUCCAAGUUGUGGAAUAUAUGGGCAGAAGAUUGGACACCAUCCCCCUCGACUCUUUUUUCCCAUCUGUAGGGUCUGCGGUGAUGUCCUUUUUAGCCUCCAUGUUUGUAAUGAGGGUCUCUUUGUUUUGGGGUCAGUCUGGCCAGCAGCUUAUCAAUUGUAUUGAUCUUUUCAAAGAAUCAGCUUGGGUUUCAUUUAUUUUCUCUAUUUUCUGUUUUUGUUUUUUGUUCAGCUGAUUUCCACCCUGAUCUUUAUUACCUUCUACUUUCCGCAUGCGUUUUGUAAUUUAUUUUUCCCUUACUAGUUUCUCCAGGUGAAAGCUCCUAUCAUAGUUGGCAAGGGUUUUCUGUAAAGGGCUAGAGAGUAAAUAUGUUUGGUUUUGUGAGCCACGUGGUGUCUGUUGCAACCACUCAACUGCUGUUGUAGCGUGAAAGCAGCAACAGAAAACACAUAAAAUACCAAGUUGUUCUCCAGCAUAACUUUAUUUUCAACAGCAAGAAGGGGCCAGACAUGGCCGGUGGGCUGUAGCUUGCUGGCUCUUGGCUUAGAGUGAUUUGUGAUCUCUUCCUUUUUUAUCGUUUCAGCAAUUACUGCUGUAAAAUCUAUCCUAAACACCAGUCAAUCUGCAUCCCACAAA
rnacentral:lncRNA from 1 species